GCGAGUGGCGAACGGGUGAGUAACACGUGGAUAACCUGCCUCAAGGCUGGGGAUAACAUUUGGAAACAGAUGCUAAUACCGAAUAAAACUUAGUAUCGCAUGAUAUCAAGUUAAAAGGCGCUACGGCGUCACCUGGAGAUGGAUCCGCGGUGCAUUAGUUAGUUGGUGGGGUAAAGGCUUACCAAGACAAUGAUGCAUAGCCGAGUUGAGAGACUGAUCGGCCACAUUGGGACUGAGACACGGCCCAAACUCCUACGGGAGGCUGCAGUAGGGAAUCUUCCACAAUGGGCGCAAGCCUGAUGGAGCAACGCCGCGUGUGUGAUGAAGGCUUUCGGGUCGUAAAGCACUGUUGUAUGGGAAGAAAUGCUAAAAUAGGGAAUGAUUUUAGUUUGACGGUACCAUACCAGAAAGGGACGGCUAAAUACGUGCCAGCAGCCGCGGUAAUACGUAUGUCCCGAGCGUUAUCCGGAUUUAUUGGGCGUAAAGCGAGCGCAGACGGUUGAUUAAGUCUGAUGUGAAAGCCCGGAGCUCAACUCCGGAAUGGCAUUGGAAACUGGUUAACUUGAGUGUUGUAGAGGUAAGUGGAACUCCAUGUGUAGCGGUGGAAUGCGUAGAUAUAUGGAAGAACACCAGUGGCGAAGGCGGCUUACUGGACAACAACUGACGUUGAGGCUCGAAAGUGUGGGUAGCAAACAGGAUUAGAUACCCUGGUAGUCCACACCGUAAACGAUGAAUACUAGGUGUUAGGAGGUUUCCGCCUCUUAGUGCCGAAGCUAACGCAUUAAGUAUUCCGCCUGGGGAGUACGACCGCAAGGUUGAAACUCAAAGGAAUUGACGGGGACCCGCACAAGCGGUGGAGCAUGUGGUUUAAUUCGAAGCAACGCGAAGAACCUUACCAGGUCUUGACAUCCUUUGAAGCUUUUAGAGAUAGAAGUGUUCUCUUCGGAGACAAAGUGACAGGUGGUGCAUGGUCGUCGUCAGCUCGUGUCGUGAGAUGUUGGGUUAAGUCCCGCAACGAGCGCAACCCUUAUUGUUAGUUGCCAGCAUUCAGUUGGGCACUCUAGCGAGACUGCCGGUGACAAACCGGAGGAAGGCGGGGACGACGUCAGAUCAUCAUGCCCCUUAUGACCUGGGCUACACACGUGCUACAAUGGCGUAUACAACGAGUUGCCAACCUGCGAAGGUGAGCUAAUCUCUUAAAGUACGUCUCAGUUCGGACUGCAGUCUGCAACUCGACUGCACGAAGUCGGAAUCGCUAGUAAUCGCGGAUCAGCACGCCGCGGUGAAUACGUUCCCGGGUCUUGUACACACCGCCCGUCACACCAUGGGAGUUUGUAAU
rnacentral:rRNA from 1 species